UGAAGCACACUUCUGACCACACCCAACCACACACAUCAGUGAUACUGGUUGAGGUCAGAGGUGAAGGACUGUUUUUCAUCCUGGUGUUAAGUUACUUUUAGGAUCUGGAUACCUCCUCCGCAUCUGUCCCAGGGAGGGAUGACACCAGAACCCCCAAGGCAGGUUCAGUUUCGGAACUGUUAUCCUUUUAAUCCCACUUGAGUUUGCAUGCCUGCGUCUAGAAUAUUUUAAUUUGAUGAAAUGGUGCAGCUGUAAAAACAUGGCUUUAGGAGUUUGUAUUAUGUUAUGCUUAACUGAGAACCUAUUAAAGCCAACUCCUAUAUCUGAGUCUGGACUGCAGCUGAAGGUUGUGACAGCACACGUGAGCGGCAGCAGGAAACACGGCGCCUCAAGAUACAGUUUGUCUGCACACGCAGAAGAUGACAACAGCAACAGCUGGGAUCAACUUUCUAUGUCAACGUACUGCAAGAAACAGACGUCUGAAAACAUUAUCAAUGAAUUCAGCUCAGAGGGAGGAUGAAGCUAAUGAACAACUGAAGACAAAUGUUAAGGCUGCAGUUCUUCUCCACGUCUGCUGCAUAAAGGCGAUUGUCAUAGUGAGAUUAGAAAGUGGGAAAAGGAGGCUCUACUCUCACAGAUCUGCUAAGAGAUGUAAAACCUUUGGCCACAUCUGGCCCAACAAGAGUCAAAACAUCUCUCUCUCAAAGAGAGCCAACAGAGUGUGUUUUUGCAGGCUUGUUAGCCGAAACAGCUGUUUCUUUGGCAGUGGUGACAAACCAAAUGUUCACCAUUUAGUCACAUGAAACCACAGUACAUGAGCAGGCUCACCAUUCAAACAGAAACUUCAUCUGACAGCCUUCUCUUACCUUGAACAGUCGCAGGAUGUUGGCCACCAUGAUUGACACAGAGCUGGCCGACGCCCCGAUGACACCCACCACUUUAUCCGGCUUGGCGAAGAUGGGUGGGUCACCGUUAGCACAGCGGACGUCAGAGCUGUCCCUCUCGAUGAGUGCCUGGACGAAGGUGAGCGACUGCUCCAGGGCAUAGGUGUCACGUGAACACGUGUCCAGGAUGCGUGCCCCGAGCGUCACAUUGGGCAGCAGCUCCGGGUCCUUGUUGAUGAGGUCGAUGGCGAACAGCAUGGCUUCCAGACGGUGGAUGCCCUUCUCCUUCUUCAGCUCGCCGCAGGGAACGCCUCUCUCGCCACGAGAGUGCACGGGGAACAAGCCGCCCAAGAUGAUGUCACCAUCCAGCCGGAUGGAGUGUGCGUACUCCUGCUGGGGCUGCUGGGAGUCUGCCAACACUGUGGGCUUCUGAGUGGCAGAGCCUAGCAGCCAGCAGCAGCUCUUCAGCAUCAGCAGGGAAAGGAAGCAGUGACUUGAAACGCGCAGAAGAUUUGAACCCCUCGCCAUUUUGCAGUGAGUCGAGCUGCAGGGAAAAGGAGAAGUGAUAUGAUCGCACAAUCAACAGGCAGGUGGCUGCAGCAGCGGUGCGGGUGGUGUGGGGAGGACAGGAUGAGCCAGACCAUGGAGUCCCCCGUCACCCAGGGCAGGGUCAACCACAGUGGGCGGUCCCACCUAUGAACACUGACCCUAAGGGUUUCCUGCGGUAAAGGUUCCUGUGUCGGGCAUAGCUGUCUUGGCUGGCAGCGGAGGAGGCAGAGCUUCAGGUUCUCAGCAGCUACAAUUUCAUAUUCUUCUAGAAACCUGUUGGAAAAUUCAGACAGAGGAGGAAGCAAUCAAUACAUGAUAAAUAAACCAGAGAUGCUUCAAGGAAAAAUUCUGAGCACGUCACAGAGUUGCUGUCUCAGUCCUUACUCACCUAUUCACACAUAAAUGUAUACAGCGCUUUCAUCAAAAGCAUUUAUUUUGCUGUUCAUUCACUCAUUCACGCACACACUCACCAGUUCACUGCCAUUGGUGUGACAGUGAGCUACCACACACGGUGAACCGCCUACCAAGUGAUCAGUGGAUGACCCGCUUUACCCCCUAAGCUAUAGCCAGAGUAUAUACAUAAUACCAGAACUAUCAUUUGAUUAAAUAUGCAGAUGACACCACAGAGGUUAGUCGAACAAAUGAUAACAUCAAGGAGUCCUACAGGGCCAGGGUGGAGGAGCUGAAACCACCUCCCUCUCAAGGUGUACAAAACCAAAGAGGUGAUCAUUAAUCUCAGUCAGUCACCACUGAUGGUUUAUCUGUUGAGGUAGUACAUUGUUUUUCAUUUCUAGGCGUACAGAUCUCCAACAAUUUAACUUGGGUAUGAUAACACUGACUGUAGGUUGAAAAAGAUUGUCUCUUACAUGCCUUAAGAUUUUUGGCAUGUCACCCAAGUCUUUGGUUCAUUACACUAUUGAAGGUUUUCUUACUAAUUAACAGGUUGUAUCUCAUACACAAAACUAUUACAUCAAAAGUUUGUGGUGGAACCAACAUUUUUAUUUUUUUUGUUAUCUGUUGUAUCUGUUUUUUCCUGGCAUGUUAGAGUCCUCCACCGACAGAUGAACAACCAAUAAAGAUGGUCUCUACGGAGCCCCUAAAGUC